ACUAAUUUGCUAUUCGGUGACAUAAGAGGGGGAGUGCGCUUUGCUUCCCCGGGGUCUGGGGCUCAUUUCUCCUCUCUUCCCCAUAAACUCAGCUCCUCAGAGCUCAAAACACAAAAGGAAGCGAGAGGUUCGAACCUUUGGGAAAAGUCUGUUAUAUAUAGUAGGUUUCGGGGCGAGUAAGAGAGAGAAAAAAAAAAAAAUAAACACCACAGCUCUUUCCAGCUAGAAUAUUAGGCACCACGAGAAAAAUAUUUGCCAAGCAGUUUUCGGUCUUGGUUCCCCCCCGCUCUCUCCCAGCUCGUUUCAAGGUCGUUGUUCAAAACCUCUCCUGUCUGUGUUUAAAGAGACCAGCCGGAGGGAAUUCUAAAGGCCUGCGGUGCCAGUAUCACAGAUACUGCGUGGAUUUAGAACAGACUGUGCUACAACUACAACGCGGUUCACGCAGCACAGUCCUCUUAGUUUUAGAGCUGAGUUAGGAGGAGGAGGAAAAGGGGGGAAAUCUUUCUUUCUUCCUUCCUUUCUUUUUAAAGGCAAAUGCAGUGCAGAAUCAUUUCACUGUGGGCCUUGGUUUGUUUAUUCAGAACUGCCAGUUUCCCUAUUUAAAUGUUGGUUGGGGUUUUUUUCCCCUCCUACUCAUCCCUGAAUGAGGGAGACUCUUGUUUCUUUUAUGUCUCUCUCUUAAAAGAGGGUGUGAGGGGAAAAUAAUAUUUCAGAUUCCUCAAGUAUUAACCCAAAAUGUUUGGACCAGAAGCAGCUUUCAAAGGUCAGGCUGUUCUGAGCCUUGGCUAUGAAAGUCCUUCAGGCGGACUCAUUAAAUUACAGAGGAGUUCUUAAAGGUUCCACAAAAUUUCUGCGCAUGUUAAUUUCCAAUAAAGAUCUCUCCCCAAAUAAUCUACCUCUCCAAAUUUGGGUUUAUAGUGGAGAAGUGAGCAGAGAGAUUACUGGCUAUUUCCUGGGAUAUUUGGGGAUCUCUUUCCCAGAAGUCUGUAAGAAGUUCAGAUCUGUUGCUGAAAAUGUCAGUGCAGCCCCCCUUUUGAAAAGGCCGUGUUGGAGUUUUUAGAACCAGGAGAGAUCCAAAGGGAUCGAUUGUUUUCCACAAGGGCUGGAGCUUAGGAAAAAUGACUAAAGUGUGUCUGUCCCUUUGAAAUCUGAAUAUUUUAAUACUUAUUGACAGAUGGAUUACUGCAGCUUCUGCAGAAAAGCCUGUCUUGUGAAGGUUUUUUGAAAAAUAUACAUAGGCCUAAUCCUGUCACCCUUGUGGAAAUGAACAUUUUACCCCCGAAGACACACGUUAUCAUUAAGUGCAGAUUCAUUUUGCCAGAAGGCAGACUGUUUUUUAAAUUGUCCCCUUCCUCCUGAGUUCGAAAGAGUUUUAAAGGAAUCCCACCGGAUUCUAAAUGACACCCGGUUUUGCUGAAGCGAUCGUCUUUGUGUAUUUCUAUGGGUGAUAAUUUUUGUAUUUUUUAUUAGUAUGUUCUCAGGUGUAUCUGUGUGGUUUGGAAUGUGAAUUGUGUGGUUCUCCCCUGCUACUGAUUCUGCAGUGUGAUAACUUUUGUGAUGUGGGGUCCCUUUUCUUGUCAAAGUUGCCAUCCAGCCUCAGUGGGUCCUCCCCACCACCACUUUAAACACACUGCUUGUCCCUCUCGCGUUCUCUUUGCCACUCCAAUCUUAGCCCCGUGGGGGCGCUGCAGAGCAAAGGGAAAUCUGCUCUCUAGCAGUAGAACCAACCAGAGUGGGGGCUGGGAGUGAAUUCACCCUUCUAGUUCCUCAGCCCUCUAAUUCUCUGCGAGAAGUCUGUAAAGGAAGACCCCACUAGGCCUGGUUUAUAGCUAAUUAAUCCCAUCACCAGGGGCCUCAGACCUUUUCUGGGGCCAAGUGCCAGAGUCCCACAUUUCUAAUACUACCCACCCCCCCCCCAAACUGAAAGAAAUUAACCAGGAGAUGUUAAAAGAAAAAAAAUUAUUGAAAAUAUUUUAAAGGUAAGGAUUUACAUUUUGUAGGUCCCCUUCUCUUUUCCAAAUGAGUGGUGAGGAAAAUUGUGCACCCACAUCUCAAUCUCUUUUCAAUUACUAGGAAAGUAACUUUAUCAGAUGUUUUAUACCCAUUGAAUUUCUUCCAUAAUGUCCUGCCUUCUCUCAUUUCUUGAUUUCUCCCCAUUAGUAACCAGUUGGCAUCACUCUGUGAACCUCCCUCACCCCAGCAGUGAUAAGAUUAAAGGAAGGAUUGACUUGAAUAUAUUCAAAUUCUUUCAAAUCAUCCAUAAGAAGACCUGAAGAGAGAUUUCAUGUCUGGGGUCUUAUGUGUGAUUCUUGUGAACUUGGUGGGUUAUGUAUCAAACCAGUCCUAUGAUUUAAUGGCUUCUGGCUAUUAAUACUCAAAGUAGAGGAUCAAGUUAGCCCGUUUGCCUGGUGGUUUGGGCAUGGUAAUAGGUUCUUAAUCACAAGUUCUGGGUAAAUAUAAGCUUUGUUGCAAAAUAAAAUAGCUUGGUCUUAAUAUUACAUCUGUUUAAGGAAAGGAACAGAUUUUGCAUCCAGUUCCCUCACAAAUUUCCCAAUAUAGUCACAGCUGUAACGGAGCUAUCCUUGGAGUAAACACUGUCUUGUCCUCUUUCUAAGGGGACUCCCAAGAGGAAGUUGGUUUCACCUGUCAGGAAUUUCUGGCACCUUGGUAGAUCUUGAAACUGUCACAUAAGAGAAUUAUAGAUUUUAGGACUGGAAGGAACUUUGCAGAUCAAUCAACUCCUCGAGGCUUCCUUCUUUCAAGAGGACAGGAGGGCCAUCACUGGAGGCAUGCGGGACCCCGAGACACAACUGAAAACAGGUCUUUGUGGUUCUAUGGUCCUGUGUUAGAGAAUCAGGAAGAUCUGACUACCUGGGCUUUGAGCCUCCACCCGCAGAACCCUUUGAGCUGCCUGAAAUCCGAGUCAUUAAACUGUUCCCUGAGGUCAGACCACAGAUGCCCGAUGCAUGUUUCCUCCAUGUCAACGUCUAUGUAACAUGUACAUACAGAGACACACGCAAAAAAGUGUGUAACUGCGGGGGCACAGUGUGAGGUAGGAGAAGAAACAAAACAAAACUGGAUUUGCUGCCAGAAGACCUUGGUUUCUAAUUACAGUUCUGCCAGGAACUCCUUAUCUGAUGUGGAACAAAACCACUUGUCAGGACUCAGCCUCCUUAACUGUGUGAAGGUAUAACCCCAGUGUCUGCAGAAUGUCUAUCAGUUCUAAAUUUAAUACCUUUAUGUCUAAAUAUAUAUAUAUCUGUAACUUUAAGAUGGAGAGGGGAAUGGAAAGAAGCUGAGUAUAUAUGUGUCCCUGAGGUGGGAGAAAGAGUUAAAAUGUAAACUUCUAAGUAAAGAAGGCAGUCCCAGAAUCCUCACCCUAUCAAUUUUUAACCAAUUGUAGACCAAAGUCUGAGAUUAUGCUGAAUAGGUCCAAAAGCCAAUUGAAGAUUUCAAAUGUUAAGAGCUGGAAGUGCCAGUUCUAAGACCUUGUACCUUUGAUCUCCUGCAUUCCUAUCAGAUGUGACAGUUCCCAAGUGUCUUUUCUGCACCACAGUUCAGUCCCGCCCCACCACUUCUAUUUGUUUUUGGAAUCGGUCCUAGUCAGUGACAGGAAGGAGUUGACACUUGUAAACCAUGCACACUCUAAGCCACUGGGUCCCAUGUGGAUGUAAAAAAUAUGUCAUAAUAUUCAUACAGAAGGAGAAGAAAAAAAAAAAACCUAGAUAGAAAUUCCUGGUAAGAAACUGAGAGGUAGCUCAGCCAUCACUGCAUUAAAAGUAAUUAUUUGAAGUCAGAGGAAAUAACAGAUGAGGAGUUUGACCUUACCAAAAAAAAAAAAAAAAAAAGCCUUCCUCUACCAAAACAAAGGCAAUGAUAGAGAUCCUUUCUGCCAAUAUUUCCUAUACUUCUGUGAUCUCCAUUCUUUAAAAAGAAAGGUCUGAUUGUCUUAAGCAAAAGGCCUUUAACGGACCUUGGAAUCUUCAGGAAAUAAAAGUAACUCCUAUUUAUUAACAGCGACCUCCCCACCACCACCAUCCCUCCAUUUAAACCUUCUGGAAUAUUGAUGCCUGUUUACAAGGAGAGAUGGAGCCAGUUCCAUUCUCUCAAUGAAAAACUAUUGAGAGUUAUAAUAGGCUAGCACUGGGAAGUGAAAGUGAGUCACUCAGUGGUGUCUAGACUCUUUGUGACCCUAUGGAUGAUAUAGUCUGUGGAAUUCUGCAGGCCAGAGUACUGGAGUGGGUAGCCUUUCCCUUCUCCAGGGCAUCUUCCCAACCCGGGGAUUGAGCCCAGGUCUCCUGCAUUCCAGGCAGAUUCUUCACCAGCUGAGCCACCAGGGAAGCCAAAGAAUACUGGAAUGCAUAGCCUAUCCCUUCUCCAGUGGAUCUUCCUGAUGCAGGAAUUGAACCGGGGUCUCCUGCAUUGCUGGUGGAUUCUCUACCAGCUGAGCUACCAGGGAAGCCCUCUGUCCUCAGCCAUUGUCUGAUUCACAACUGAUUUUGUAUCAUUGGAAACUGAGGCCCACACAGAAUGUAUUUGCCACACACACUGGAUCAGGCUGAGUCAGAUCCAGAACUUUGAUGUCCUGGUUCUAAAUCCACUGUGUUUUUCCAUAGCUUAUCAUGAGAAGAGGAUAUAGGGUGGGCAGACCUGCCAAAGAGCCAUUUUCUGUAGCCUUACAUUUUCUGUGACCUUCAGAGAAGUCCCCACUUUUGGACUCCUGAGAUGAUCGCCACUGAGGUUCUACAUCAGCCUUAACAGUACAAUGGCAGUAUGGAAAGGAGCAGACUGGCAUUCCCAAGUUCUGCCUGUGGGUCCCAGUGAGGGACGCCGUAUAGGAUUCCUCACAGUUUCCUAUGGUACUGUGACUUAUCACUGUUAAUAAACCUAUAAUUACCUCAUGAGUAGUGCGAUUGCAUUGUAAUUGUGUGUAUGUUGGUGUUAAAAGUGUAAAACUUAAUGUAUUUUUGGCCUAGAAACAAUGAUGCUACGAUAGCCAAGAGCCCACCUGGUGCCAUUUCUUGAUUUCUUGAACCAGCCUUGGAUAAAUGGCUGGUCCUAGGCUAGGACUGGGGCAAGAAGUAUAUAUGAAAUUAGAAUGGAACAUUAUAUAGCACUGUAAAUAAGGAAUUGCUGAAAAACAAACAAGAACUGCAUCCAUAGAGUAUUUCAAAGAGACUGGAGCCACCUGAAGAACUCCCAAUGGCCAAAGCUGGAAAAUUUGGAGCAAGAAAAAGAAAUCGACUAGUAUUGGAUCACAACCCAAAGUAUAAAAGAAAUAUCCAUGAAUCUACACUGAUCUAAAUUACUAAAUAAAUUAACAAAAGAGAAAAGAGAAAAAUUUCUUUUGCAGAAGAAUUCCAAAGAAUUUGUGUAGAUACACUGCUGUCAAGGAUGGGAAUAGGUAUAUAACUGCUCACUCCUGAAGUGUGAGCUAUGGGUAAUGACUUCCUUCCAAAGAGUACAGUUUAGGAAGGGACGGGGGAGGCAAUAAUUUUACAUGGAGAAAUCUAGCAAACACUACUCCAGCCACUUCAUCAAGAGCAACAUCAGCAAUUAUAAACCGUGUUGACUGUGUGUACCUUUGAUAUGAGGAAUCCGAACAUGGCUCUUUAACUCUGUGAUCUUUCUUCCAUACCUCAGACUAUUUAUGAGAAAGGUAUCAGACAGAUUUCUACAGAAGGGCAUCCUACAAAAGACAUCACCAGAAUUCCCCAAAACUAUCGCGGGAAGUCUGAGAAAUUGCUACAGCCAAGAGCAACCUCGCACAAGAUGACAAUAUAAUGUAGAGUCCUUGGUGGGGUCAUAGAAAAAGAUAAACCCAGACAAAUCUGAAUAAUUGACAGAAUUUAGUUAAUAAUAUUUCAUCAGUGUUGUUUCAUUAAUUGUUACAAAUGUUCCAUUGUAAUAUAAAAUGUUAAUGAUAAUGAGAAAAUGG